rnacentral:lncRNA from 1 species
CGAAAACCGAAGUUCAAAACCGAAAUUUGACCAAAUCUUGAAUUACAGAAACAAACACAGAAAUUACUUUACAAGUCAUGAAUACAAAUUACUUUACAAGUCAUGAAUACGAUUACUGAAUCAGAAAGUUUAAAUACAUCUUGGCAUCACAGUUGCACAGUCUUGUAUCUUGCUGAGUGUUAAUAUUAAGUGUUAAUUGCUAAUGCUAAUGGCUUAUGGCUGACUGCAGAAGUGCCCUGAUUGCUGAAUGCUUGGAGUCUUUGACUGGAUGGAGACAUACAAGCUAUUGGCGCUCCUCUCUGACUGGUGCUGCUGCAAAAUGACAAAGGAAUACAAUAACAUAUAUAUGUAUUUAAGUGGUGGACCGAUAACUACAUGGCAAGCUCAGAUCAUACAGUAACUUAACUUAAAUCAUUUACAACUUAUGGAGUGAUGGUGCAUGGUUAUGCGACUGAGUGCCUGACUGAUACUAUCCGAAGAAACAUGUCAAGUCUUUUUAAAACACUAAUGGCCUGAACAAUUGCAGGGAUGGGAAGAUUGAACUUAGCCAACAAUAUUGUGCAGGGUUUGUCUAGUGUGUGCCCAUGGGCACACAUUAUAUAUACACUAAAUUUGAUGAGUUUGGUGGAUUUUAGUUGGUGGACUUUGGUGUAAAUGCAGGGGGGCCAUCCUUAUUUAUGAUUAGAUGACCAAUAAAAAUGCAUCAAAAUCAUAGGAGUUAGUGCUUAUUGUGUGCCCAUGGGCACACCAUAGAAAAACCGUAAAACAAAUGGAAUCCACGACUCUGUAUCAUUUCCAGUAAACAAAAAAGAGAAGCUCUUCUGUCCAUGUACAAUUAAUAACAACUGAAUUUAAAAAGUAUCAAGCAUCCUGAAUUUUCUAGAAUUGAAGUGGACGAUGAUCAAUCACUAGUUCAGAACUAUACAACUGCAAGUGCCUCUCAGCAACAGGAUGCUAUUUCUGAUGGAAAGAAAAUGAAUCCAAAUGAUUCCCAAAGAAAAGCAAGUUCAAACUCAUGGCCAGAUACUCAAUUAUGCUUAUUCUCAACUUGAAAGAGAGAAAGCUAUCCAGCAGCAAAACAAGAACAUGACCUUCUCAGGACGGAUUAACAUGGCUACCAAUACAGAAACAAUAAAACGACCUAAGGCAUAAGGUUAGAGAACCAUAUACCAGAAGUACCUCUACUUUGUUCAAACAAUAUCAUGCAGCUUCAAACUGCAAGCUCGAUCAAAUAAUUAUUGUACAACUUAUGCAGCCUGGGCAGAUAAUUUUGAAAUGCCAACUCAAACUUAAUAUGUACAGCACAAUUACCUCCCAAAGACCUCUAACAAUUACAGUAAACAAAAAAAGAUACAGAAAAUAAAAAGUGUACAACUGAGAAAACAUAGCAGUGAAGUGUAGAUUGAUUAACCAAACUAAUGAUACAGUCUUAUAUAUUUUUCAGAGUACCCAUCUAAUCUACUGCAUCAUAUAGCUUCAAACUGCAAGUGCUAACAGUGGCCAAGGAAUAAGUAGUUUGAAGGGUCAGAAAGACAGAAUAUAUCACAGCUUCACAUAAUCAUUUGUAUCCAGAUUACAAGUAAUCAGAAAAAACAAAAACAAAUUAAAUACUUACGGUGGAUGACUUGUUCCAGUCGCUGAAGCUGCUGCAGAACUUGCAUCCAUGUUCAUUUUCUCUAGUGCUGAAAAAAGAAAAUACCACUAAAUAUUCUUAAUAAAUAUAAAGGUGAGCAGUGCAAAAAUAAUCAAAUAAUAAAUAAAUAUACGUUCAUCUAGUUGUUU